GCAUUCUGCCGUGUCCUGCCCUGACCCUCCAUCGGUUUCAGCUGUCACCAGCUGUCCCUUGCCCUGCCUUGUGAGCUGUGUGAAACCAAACAAGAGUAAAUACAGCAUGAAAGUGUGAAUGGCCUGUGCUGCAGACCACCCUCAGGCUCCCUCCAAGAGCAGAAGCCUGGAGUCAGCAGCUCUGGAGACCUGUGCCAGCUCCAGGCGGGACGACCUGCUCCACACACCUGCAAAAUCCUUGCAUGGCUGGGGGGACCAGGAUCUCUAAAGCAGCCAGUGUGGAGUGGGGCAGAGAAAGGCCAGCCCUCCGAGGUCUCUGUAGUUUUCAAAUGGAUAGACUUGGACUUCAAGGCAAGCAGUGCUCACUGAGCACCCUGCCUUCCUCUUCCCAGGGGAGCAUUGGAAUGGGGAUGAUCUUCCUCAGCUUUCUCUUGUGAUGCCUCAGAAGUUAGAGAAGGGCUGGAAGUGCAGAAAGCUGAGAUAAGAGCCCUACCCCUUCCUUGGUGCGGUGAGCACGGUACGGAGGAUGAAGAGGAACUCAAGGUACAACCACGAGGACUUAGCUGGGUCUUUCCAGCAGUUAUCAAAAACAAAUAUGUCUCGUCUGUUUCCUGUCUUGAAAAGGAGGAGCAUGAGAGCCAUGGAGUGAAAUGCUCAGUGAUGUUGGGGGCAGUCACAGCCUCAGCCACUGAGAUACCUGCCCACACCCACAGCUCUGGCAAUAAACUGCUGACUACAACGAAUAUUAUAAAAAUUCCUCCCUGGAUGCCAUAGACACGUUGAUGGUUUUGCAUAUGUUGAAAACUCCCUGGCUAAUGACAUAUUUCCUCUUCAGGCUGACUCAUGAGCUGCUUCUCCUUGUUGCUAUGAAAGUUGGAAGCACUUCAAUGCUGCGUGCUGCAAGUACAUUUCGUGAAAAGAGAGGAAAAUCUCAGUAUUAUUUCUGGAUUCACAGAUUUGACCCUUUCACUUUUGCAGUAAGUGAGCUAUGCCACUUUGACAUUUAUUAAAUAGUAUGUUAGUGGCAGAAGGAAUGACAAUAAAAUUUGUGUGUAUAAUUUAAAGCAAACAAUCUCCACUCUUAAUCCGGCCUUCAAGGCCUGAAGUAAACAACUGCAUUUCAAGGGAAAGCUACUGAGAAAAGGAAAGGUCUGUUGGGUGCUACUUGCUUUUAAGCAUUGAGACAGAGUGUUUAACAGACUAAAAGCUCUAAGCCCCACUUGUUAUGGGGAGAUAACAGCUCUAUUAAUUAGAUGAUCAAGUAUUACUUUAUUGGUAAAUUCUUGCAUUGGCCUGGAAUGGCUUGUGCUUGCUUGUGAGACAUGUAAUUUGAUUCUUUUGAGCAUUUAUAAUAUUCCAGUAGAUUAUUUAAUGUAAAUGCCUCAAUUGUUUAAUUUAAGUAAUAUUUGCAUCAAUGUUAUGUGAUUAUGACCUGGUUUGGGAUAUUUAUCUGUGCUGAUUUUCAGCAGCUCUCAGCAAAAAAUAAAAGGUCUUUUCAUGAUGUACAAGUUUGA